rnacentral:lncRNA from 1 species
GGAUGGUGUUUGUAACGCAUACACACCUGUGUAUAUGCACAUGUGCAUGAUAUCCAUCCAAUCGAACAUCCUGCCUCCAGUCCGCAUUAAGAUUCAGGAGGACAAGUGUGCCUGCUGUUACAACAAGCCUUAUUAUGAGACUAAUCUGAUAUUGCGGGGUUUGGCUGCACCGCGGUAGGUCACCGACCCACAGCUGUCCCUGUGGUUGAUGUUCUGAGCCUCUUCCUCUAUUGAAGGGACUCCCUUACCAUUGCGUGAAUACAAUCUUGUGUCACGAGUUGUGCUAUUGUAAUAAUUUGCAGGCCGCAGCGUUUGCAGCUUUUGCUCGCUGCCGCCGCCGAACGAACGGCAUUUCAUCAUUUUGCAUCAUAUCCGUAGGAUAGUUACAGCUCGAAGGACGGCGGAGCCGCACUAACAUGGUAUGAAACCUUGCAGAUGUGUCAUCGAUCGUCCGCCCCUCAGGUCAAGGUUUGGGUUUCAUGGACGGCCGGGAGCAGGGACGCCAUCAUCAGGGUAGAGCUCAGAAACUCAGGAUGGAACCGAGCGAAUGCAUAAUGAACUGCAAUUCAUAGAACACAUAUGUGUGUACCAGGUAAGCAUAUCCAUACAAUGCUCCGAGCCGGGGGGUGUUUUUCCAAGCAAGGUAAGGCGCAACAGCAACUAUCUUGAUGUCAAAAAUCUUACAGUCUGGUGAAGUUCUUGUGCUAGUAUGGCUUGACUGACGUUUUCCUUUCGCCUUUCCUUUUCUUCUUUCCUUUGCUAGGGUAAGGCGGUUCACGAGCCUUUGGUUCAUGACCAGAAACAAAAUGAAACAUGCUAUUUGCUCAAGUUCACGUUCGUUGACCCUGAGUAUGACUUAUCCAGAUCGCCCUAGGUGUGCCUGCAACGUUACCAUUCUUCUACAACCUUAGUUGUUGCGGACGAAAGCUCUCGCGAAACUUAACAAAAAAAUUAUUUUUACUUUUACAGAUAAACUGCGUUAUGACAUAACGAUAUCGUUUGCGAUAUCGUUUUCACAUAACG